UGGGGAAUAUUGGACAAUGGGGGCAACCCUGAUCCAGCAAUGCCGCGUGAGUGAUGAAGGCCUUAGGGUUGUAAAGCUCUUUCGGCGGGGACGAUGAUGACGGUACCCGCAGAAGAAGCCCCGGCUAACUUCGUGCCAGCAGCCGCGGUAAUACGAAGGGGGCUAGCGUUGUUCGGAAUUACUGGGCGUAGAGGGCGCGCAGGCGGCCCGCCAAGUCAGAUGUGAAAGCCCCGGGCUCAACCUGGGAACUGCAUUUGAGACUGGCGGGCUUGAGUUCGGGAGAGGAUGGUGGAAUUCCCAGUGUAGAGGUGAAAUUCGUAGAUAUUGGGAAGAACACCGGUGGCGAAGGCGGCCAUCUGGACCGAUACUGACGCUGAGGCGCGAAAGCGUGGGGAGCAAACAGGAUUAGAUACCCUGGUAGUCCACGCCGUAAACGAUGUGCGCUAGACGUUGGGGGGCGUAGCCUCUCGGUGUCGCAGCUAACGCGGUAAGCGCACCGCCUGGGGAGUACGGCCGCAA
rnacentral:rRNA from 1 species